CUAAAAUAAACCUGUCCAUGUUGACUGUUGAGCCACCAUGUUUCUUUCCUCUUUAAUUCUUACAGCCAGGACAGCCUCUGAGCCACUUGUCAUCUCCUUGUACCCUCCCCAGCUGUUUCCAGUGGCAGUCAGCCUCAUCUUUCUAGAAGGGUACCCAAAGAAGUGAUAUGAUUUGCCUCUUACUAGCAUGGGCAUUUGGCUCAGUUUCCCCAUCUGUAAUUUGGGGAUGACAAUAGUGUUCACCUGACAUAGAGGUAUUAUAAGCACCAAGUGGCCUAAAUGCCAGUAACAGUCUCCUCUGAUACUAGGGAUUGUACUGUCACAAGGCCCUGUGAGCCUCCCCCAACCCUCCCUUGUUCUCUGAGUCAUGGCACACUGUCCUUCAGUACCAUGGCUCCUGGCUCCAGGGUUGGGGUUGGUCCUAAAAUCCAGCUUGCCCACAUUUUCCCUUGUCUGACUCCAACUCAUCCUCCAGUUCUUGACUCAGCCUCAGGUCCUUGGGAAAGCCCCUGGAGCACCUGGCUUGGUCCAUUCCCACAUGUGCCCAGCACCUGUCCUGUCCUUCAAGGCUAACUCCAUAUUUCUGAGUUAAGACUGCAUGUCUAGGCGGUAAACUCCGUGCCAGUGGGGACAGUCUCUUUUUGGGCAUUGCUGUAUGCCUACCUCCUGACCCCUUACCUCCAUGGUAGGCAGAUGACCCCCUGCCCACUAAAGAAUAGCAGGAGGAGGACAAGCACUAAUCCCUGGAACCUAUGAGUAUGCUAUGUUACCUGGCAAAAAGUACUUCACAGAUGCAAUUAGGAUUAUGGACCUAAUAGGGAGAUUAGCAUCGAGUAUCUGGGUACACCCAAUCUAACCACAUGAGCUCUUAAAAGCAGAUAAUUUUCUCCAGCCAGAGUGCCAGAUUCGAAGCAAGAGAAGCACUCGAUGUCCAUUACUGGUUUUGAAGAUGAAGGGGACCAGAGACCUCAUGGUAUAACCACAAGGAACUGAAUUUUGCUCACAACCAGAUUGAACUUGGAAGUGGAUUUUUCCCUUGUCCCUUCCGAUACCUUGACUUUGGCCAUGCGAGUCCUGACGCAGAAGACCUAGUCACGUUACGCUGGACUACUGACCCACAGAAAUUGGGAGAUAAUAAAUGUGUGUUGUUUGAAGCUGCUAAAAGUUUGUGUUGAUUUGUUAUAACAGCAAUAAAAAUAAUAAACCUGGGACCCAUAGGGACACAAUAAUUAUCUGCAAACCAUGGGCAAAUGCUCCAGGAGGCAUUGGCAGGCAUGGCUGCUGACUCCCUCUUCUUCCUCAUGGCAGCAUCCCAGAUCUGUUAGUUAGAAGAUUCACUGCCCCAGAGCCCCUGCCACCCAGGUGUGGUCACCUCAUCUCCCACCCCAUCCUAGCACAUCCAGCUGGAGGCACCACCCACCUGUCAGUUUUCUCACCCCUAGGCCUCUGAGGAAGCAUUUUCAUGGUCUGAUUCUAAAGACAGCAGUGUGUGUGUGUGUCCAUGUGUGUAUGCGUGCACGUGUGUGUGUGUCCACAUGCAUGCUCACAUGCACGUAUGAGCCUAUGAAGCUAGAGUAGCUGAGAAGUCACCAUCUAGCCCUGGAGUGUGCACCCAGACAGGAGCCUGGGUUCCCCGGGCAGAGUCAUCUCUCUCUAGGUGUUUGAUUCUCUCUAAUCUUCAAUGAUUCCCUGCUACCUGCAGAAUGAACCAGAGUGGGGGCAGAACACGAGCCUCGAAGAGCACUGGCUCAAGUUCAGCUCCACUGCUAAUCCACUGGGUCACUCUGGACCCCUUGGGUGGCCUAAAGGCCUCCUCAAUAAAAUGGAGAUCAAGGAAAUCAGGAAGCACACAGACUCUAGACUACACUGCCCAUGAGCACUCUGAAUGAUCAGCACCAGCGUGCCACGGACCUCAGAUACCAGGAUUAAAGGAGCUAACACUUGGAAGACACUCAGAAUGGUCCUGAUACGUAGAAAGCCCUCCAUAGAUGUUAUCCCUGAACAUUGUUGUCACUGGGAGACUGUUUUACUUUUUGCAAGGUAAGGAUGACUGCCAUCCUCAUAAGCCUGGGCACAGCCUGAGGACAAGGACUGAGGCGGAAGCCUUUGGAUGUAGUGGACCCUAGGUGGAUAUGUGUGAACUGAAGGGAAAAAUGAUUCAGCUGAGGUACAGAGUGAUCUGGGUCCCAACAAGAGGGAACCAGAGACUCAGAGGGUCCAAGAAAGGAGAGGAUGAGAGCAAAUACAAGAGAAUGGACAGCGGCCCUUUGCAGGCUGUGCAAGCCCAGAUCCUUGUGAGCGCCGCCUGGAUCCUGGCGGCCAGGCAGUCAACUCGAGCCUGCCAGAUGGGCUGGGCCCUGUCUCCUGGCCCUGGGAAGCUGGGACAUGUAGGUCCUGGAGGGAUUCGGGCUAGUUGAGGGGCUUGAUCACAUGCUCUGGGAGGUGGGGAGAGGCCACACUGGGUCUGGGGUCUGGGGAGGUGGGCUGGAGCUGGGGAGCAUGGCUGUGGCUCCUCUCCAGCUACAUGAGCUAGACAUCGAUGCUCACACCUGGAACGCAGGCUCAGCAGAGACAGGUCAGCUCCCACCCUGGACCACCCCCUAGAAACCCAGUCUGGCUCUCCCGCCCCUCUCUGCGCUGCCCUUCCUUGUCUUCAAGGUCCUGUCCUGAGAUCCUGUCUCCUCUCCCUAACUGAGGGGCUCCCUGGGCAACAAGGGACUUGCAACCCCCACCCUGUGCUCCCAGAGUGGCCAGAGCCAAUUCCGGCUGGGUGGGUGGUGAGUGAGAGGGCAGGGCUCCGGCUGGGGACCAGGUCACCAAGUGGGUCUGAGGUAGGCCGGGACCUGGGAGUCACCUGAUGCCUGCUCUGCUUGUGGCAUGUACCCCAGGAUCUCAGGGGUGCUUGUCAACGGAUUCUUACUCAUGACUCUACAUUGGAGGUCUGCAGCCAGGGCGGCCAGGGAAGCCAUUUGGAGCACAAAGGAGGACACAGUGAGAAGACCGCCAUCAAUGAAUCAAGACAUGGGCCCUCAGCAGACACUGAAUCCACUGUCACCUUGAUCUUGGACCUCCCAGCCUCCAAAACCAUGAAAAAUACA